rnacentral:rRNA from 2 species
UAGGGAAUCUUCGGCAAUGGACGAAAGUCUGACCGAGCAACGCCGCGUGAGUGAAGAAGGUUUUCGGAUCGUAAAACUCUGUUGUUAGAGAAGAACAAGGACGUUAGUAACUGAACGUCCCCUGACGGUAUCUAACCAGAAAGCCACGGCUAACUACGUGCCAGCAGCCGCGGUAAUACGUAGGUGGCAAGCGUUGUCCGGAUUUAUUGGGCGUAAAGCGAGCGCAGGCGGUUUCUUAAGUCUGAUGUGAAAGCCCCCGGCUCAACCGGGGAGGGUCAUUGGAAACUGGGAGACUUGAGUGCAGAAGAGGAGAGUGGAACUCCAUGUGUAGCGGUGAAAUGCGUAGAUAUAUGGAGGAACACCAGUGGCGAAGGCGGCUCUCUGGUCUGUAACUGACGCUGAGGCUCGAAAGCGUGGGGAGCAAACAGG